rnacentral:rRNA from 1 species
AGGCGAAAAGAACCCCGGCGAGGGGAGUGAAAAAGAACCUGAAACCGUGUACGUACAAGCAGUGGGAGCACAGAGCAAUCUGUGUGACUGCGUACCUUUUGUAUAAUGGGUCAGCGACUUAUAUUCUGUAGCAAGGUUAACCGAAUAGGGGAGCCGAAGGGAAACCGAGUCUUAACUGGGCGUUAAGUUGCAGGGUAUAGACCCGAAACCCGGUGAUCUAGCCAUGGGCAGGUUGAAGGUUGGGUAACACUAACUGGAGGACCGAACCGACUAAUGUUGAAAAAUUAGCGGAUGACUUGUGGCUGGGGGUGAAAGGCCAAUCAAACCGGGAGAUAGCUGGUUCUCCCCGAAAGCUAUUUAGGUAGCGCCUCGUGAAUUCAUCUCCGGGGGUAGAGCACUGUUUCGGCAAGGGGGUCAUCCCGACUUACCAACCCGAUGCAAACUGCGAAUACCGGAGAAUGUUAUCACGGGAGACACACGGCGGGUGCUAACGUCCGUCGUGAAGAGGGAAACAACCCAGACCGCCAGCUAAGGUCCCAAAGUCAUGGUUAAGUGGGAAACGAUGUGGGAAGGCCCAGACAGCCAGGAUGUUGGCUUAGAAGCAGCCAUCAUUUAAAGAAAGCGUAAUAGCUCACUGGUCGAGUCGGCCUGCGCGGAAGAUGUAACGGGGCUAAACCAUGCACCGAAGCUGCGGCAGCGACGCUGAUGCGUUGUUGGGUAGGGGAGCGUUCUGUAAGCCUGUGAAGGUGUGCUGUGAGGCAUGCUGGAGGUAUCAGAAGUGCGAAUGCUGACAUAAGUAACGAUAAAGCGGGUGAAAAGCCCGCUCGCCGGAAGACCAAGGGUUCCUGUCCAACGUUAAUCGGGGCAGGGUGAGUCGACCCCUAAGGCGAGGCCGAAAGGCGUAGUCGAUGGGAAACAGGUUAAUAUUCCUGUACUUGGUGUUACUGCGAAGGGGGGACGGAGAAGGCUAUGUUGGCCGGGCGACGGUUGUCCCGGUUUAAGCGUGUAGGCUGGUUUUCCAGGCAAAUCCGGAAAAUCAAGGCUGAGGCGUGAUGACGAGGCACUACGGUGCUGAAGCAACAAAUGCCCUGCUUCCAGGAAAAGCCUCUAAGCAUCAGGUAACAUCAAAUCGUACCCCAAACCGACACAGGUGGUCAGGUAGAGAAUACCAAGGCGCUUGAGAGAACUCGGGUGAAGGAACUAGGCAAAAUGGUGCCGUAACUUCGGGAGAAGGCACGCUGAUAUGUAGGUGAAGUCCCUCGCGGAUGGAGCUGAAAUCAGUCGAAGAUACCAGCUGGCUGCAACUGUUUAUUAAAAACACAGCACUGUGCAAACACGAAAGUGGACGUAUACGGUGUGACGCCUGCCCGGUGCCGGAAGGUUAAUUGAUGGGGUUAGCGCAAGCGAAGCUCUUGAUCGAAGCCCCGGUAAACGGCGGCCGUAACUAUAACGGUCCUAAGGUAGCGAAAUUCCUUGUCGGGUAAGUUCCGACCUGCACGAAUGGCGUAAUGAUGGCCAGGCUGUCUCCACCCGAGACUCAGUGAAAUUGAACUCGCUGUGAAGAUGCAGUGUACCCGCGGCAAGACGGAAAGACCCCGUGAACCUUUACUAUAGCUUGACACUGAACAUUGAGCCUUGAUGUGUAGGAUAGGUGGGAGGCUUUGAAGUGUGGACGCCAGUCUGCAUGGAGCCGACCUUGAAAUACCACCCUUUAAUGUUUGAUGUUCUAACGUUGACCCGUGAUCCGGGUUGCGGACAGUGUCUGGUGGGUAGUUUGACUGGGGCGGUCUCCUCCUAAAGAGUAACGGAGGAGCACGAAGGUUGGCUAAUCCUGGUCGGACAUCAGGAGGUUAGUGCAAUGGCAUAAGCCAGCUUGACUGCGAGCGUGACGGCGCGAGCAGGUGCGAAAGCAGGUCAUAGUGAUCCGGUGGUUCUGAAUGGAAGGGCCAUCGCUCAACGGAUAAAAGGUACUCCGGGGAUAACAGGCUGAUACCGCCCAAGAGUUCAUAUCGACGGCGGUGUUUGGCACCUCGAUGUCGGCUCAUCACAUCCUGGGGCUGAAGUAGGUCCCAAGGGUAUGGCUGUUCGCCAUUUAAAGUGGUACGCGAGCUGGGUUUAGAACGUCGUGAGACAGUUCGGUCCCUAUCUGCCGUGGGCGCUGGAGAACUGAGGGGGGCUGCUCCUAGUACGAGAGGACCGGAGUGGACGCAUCACUGGUGUUCGGGUUGUCAUGCCAAUGGCACUGCCCGGUAGCUAAAUGCGGAAGAGAUAAGUGCUGAAAGCAUCUAAGCACGAAACUUGCCCCGAGAUGAGUUCUCCCUGACUCCUUGAGAGUCCUGAAGGAACGUUGAAGACGACGACGUUGAUAGGCCGGGUGUGUAAGCGCAGCGAUGCGUUGAGCUAACCGGUACUAAUGAACCGUGAGGCUUAACCUUACAACGCCGAAGGUGUUU